GUAGAGUUUAACAUGGGAAAGGAGAAUUGCUUCCCACCAUGGGAAAGUUAUUUUAAACCAUUGGAUCAAAUAGAGAACAUAGUUUUAUCAUGGACUUUCAGCAUCAAAUUUUUUUCCCACACUCACCACUCACCCACAAACGGCUGUUGCUGCAACUCUCUUUCCUCCUCUUCUUCAAACCUAGAAAAAUUGAUCUUCCAUAAACCAUUGCCUUGUUACUGUCACUGAAAUUCCCAUGGACAUGUGAUUCUCUCUACAAGUGACAAAUAAUUAAACAUGAAUAAAUUAAAACUAACAUCAUAGAAAAAAAUUUCAUUUAGAAUUGAGGAAAAGAUACAAGCUUUGUUAAUGGGGAUUGAAGUCUCUAUCCGAUCUGCUACUUUGUACAACAUAAAAAACCAUUCAUGUUAAAAAUUCCAUUGAACUUGUGCUUCUCUUUAACCUCUGAAGACAAUUCCCCCAAACUGAAAAACCACACCCAAAUCCAAUCCAAGAUUUUUUCUCUCUCUUUACUUUGCAAUUCGUUCUUGGAAUUUUGGGUCCUUGUGCUAUUUUUAUUAUUUAAUUUCUAUGGAUGUGUGAGUAUUUUUAUUGAUUGAAAUAUGAAAGAUGUUGCUUAAUAAUUAUAUGAGGUUGUGGAUUGGGAUUGACAUGUUUAAGCCAGAAGAAAGCUUCUUGGCUUUGUUUUGUCUUUGAAAGCUUCAUGAAGCUUUUGUGGAAGAACCACUUUUUUUGCCAGAAUAUAAAAGAAAUUAGAAAACACAGAUACCGGAGAGGAUGAAGGAGAGUUGUAUGUGGGUGAGUGUGAGAAAAAAUUUGGUGCUGAAUGUCCACUGUAAAACUAUGUUCUCUAUUUGAUCCAAUGGUUUAAAAUAACUUUCCCAUGAUGGGAAACAAUUCUCCUUUCCCAUGUUAAACUCCA
rnacentral:lncRNA from 1 species